UAAAGUUCCAAAUUCAUGAUUUGUUUCUUACAACUCUAAAAAGGCUAAGAUCUAUUAAGAAUCAUAGAACAAUGGCUCAAAUUUCUAAGUUUGUCUAUGCUUUGAUAAUCUUUUUUUCUUUAAUUCUUGCUGUAACCAAUGCUGGUCUUUUCCGCUGCAAAGUUGACAUUGAUUGUCCACAAAUAUUAUGUUUCGAUGAACAAAUAGCGAAAUGCAUUGCUCGUAUGUGUGAGUGUGACUACGAGUAAUAAUUAAAUUGAAAAAUAAUUUAUUGUUACUUAUAAGAGUAUAGUAUUUUUUUUUUAUGUAAUAAUGUUGGUAAUUUCAAUUUCCAUCAAUAAUUCGUUUAUGUUUCUUUGAUAUUUAUUUAUUUUUUCUCGCAAAGAAGAUAUUGAAAACAACAUCCUCAAUGUAGAAGUAUACAAUUUCUUCAAUAAAUAAAUUCAUUGUUUAAAUA